GUCUCGUCGGAGACAUCCGAUAAAAUUGGAACGAUACAGAGAAGAUUAGCAUGGUCCCUGCUCAGUCUGUUUCUAACUUUUUUUU
rnacentral:snRNA from 1 species